rnacentral:rRNA from 1 species
GACGAACGCUGGCGGCGUGCUUAACACAUGCCAGUCGAACGGAAAGGCCCUGCUUUUGUGGGGUGCUCGAGUGGCGAACGGGUGAGUAACACGUGAGUAACCUGCCCUUGACUUUGGGAUAACUUCAGGAAACUGGGGCUAAUACCGGAUAGGAGCUCCUGCUGCAUGGUGGGGGUUGGAAAGUUUCGGCGGUUGGGGAUGGACUCGCGGCUUAUCAGCUUGUUGGUGGGGUAGUGGCUUACCAAGGCUUUGACGGGUAGCCGGCCUGAGAGGGUGACCGGCCACAUUGGGACUGAGAUACGGACCAGACUCGUACGGGAGGCAGCAGUGGGGAAUAUUGCACAAUGGGCGGAAGCCUGAUGCAGCAACGCCGCGUGCGGGAUGACGGCCUUCGGGUUGUAAACCGCUUUCGCCUGUGACGAAGCGUGAGUGACGGUAAUGGGUAAAGAAGCACCGGCUAACUACGUG